UACGUAGGGGGCAAGCGUUGUCCGGAAUUAUUGGGCGUAAAGAGCUCGUAGGCGGUUUGUCGCGUCUGCUGUGAAAACCCGAGGCUCAACCUCGGGCCUGCAGUGGGUACGGGCAGACUAGAGUGCGGUAGGGGAGAAUGGAAUUCCUGGUGUAGCGGUGGAAUGCGCAGAUAUCAGGAGGAACACCGAUGGCGAAGGCAGUUCGUCUGGGCCGUUACUGACGCUGAGGAGCGGAAAGCGUGGGGAGCGAACAGG
rnacentral:rRNA from 1 species